rnacentral:rRNA from 1 species
GCCGCGUGAGUGAUGAAGGUUUUCGGAUCGUAAAACUCUGUUGUUAGGGAAGAACAAGUACCGGAGUAACUGCCGGUACCUUGACGGUACCUAACCAGAAAGCCACGGCUAACUACGUGCCAGCAGCCGCGGUAAUACGUAGGUGGCAAGCGUUGUCCGGAAUUAUUGGGCGUAAAGCGCGCGCAGGCGGUCCUUUAAGUCUGAUGUGAAAGCCCACGGCUCAACCGUGGAGGGUCAUUGGAAACUGGGGGACUUGAGUGCAGAAGAGGAGAGUGGAAUUCCACGUGUAGCGGUGAAAUGCGUAGAGAUGUGGAGGAACACCAGUGGCGAAGGCGACUCUCUGGUCUGUAACUGACGCUGAGGCGCGAAAGCGUGGGGAGCGAACAGGAUUAGAUACCCUGGUAGUCCACGCCGUAAACGAUGAGUGCUAAGUGUUAGAGGGUUUCCGCCCUUUAGUGCUGCAGCUAACGCAUUAAGCACUCCGCCUGGGGAGUACGGCCGCAAGGCUGAAACUCANAGGAAUUGACGGGGGCCCGCACAAGCGGUGGAGCAUGUGGUUUAAUUCGAAGCAACGCGAAGAACCUUACCAGGUCUUGACAUCUCCUGACAAUCCUAGAGAUAGGACGUUCCCCUUUUANGGGACAGGAUGACAGGUGGUGCAUGGUUGUCGUCAGCUCGUGUCGUGAGAUG